GGUAAAUAAAAAAAAAAUUAUUAUUUUUAUUACCUUUUCUAUUUAAAUUGGUGGCGAUUUAAUCUUUUAUAAUAAUUAAAAUUCUAUAAAUUAUGUUUGUGUGCCAAAAUAUGAAGAAUGGUAUCGAAAUCAAUUAAAUAUACUUCUAAGAUAGCCCUUGCAAUUCUGUAUGGCGAGUCAGAUCUCUUAUGUGACGUCACAAACCACUGUCGCUGGCCCGAUAAGAAGCCUGUUCCAGAUGACCCUGCCAGACCCGGACCCCUUGGUAAAUAUUUUCAAGGGGUGGGACCCGAGACUCGAAUCCGGCCUCCAGAGCGGAAAGCCGAAUC
rnacentral:lncRNA from 1 species